rnacentral:rRNA from 1 species
AUGGCUAGUAAUUGGAGUUUCAGACAAUUUGGGGAUGUAAUUUGUAGCCAAUAUCCUUGGGGUUUGCUUGAUGAAGUGGUAUACAAAUACUAUGAUGGGGAAAAGAAAUGGGUGACAGUUAGUAAUGAUGAAGAGCUAGCUACCAUGUUUGUUAGGCAUAAAGAGAAAGAUAAUUUUCAUGUGAGGCUGCAAGUUGAUGUGCUUGAGCAGGCAUUUGGACCUAGGAUGACGGGUGCAACAUCUCGGGGAGAACCAAGUCGUUUAAUGGCAUCUCUAGCCAGAACAGUUCAGUUCGUGCACGUCGACGUGGUGGCUCGACAAGUGUGGGCAACAGCAGUAGGGUCCCCCUUGAAGUGGAGCCUGAUGACUACAAUUCUGGGGUUGAUGAAGAGAAGCUAUAUUCUGAUGUUAUUCGGAAUUUAUGACGGGCACCUCGGGCUGAAAACCAAGAUGAGGCUCACAAUGCAGUUCGUGUGGAUGAUGACACGGUGGGUGAGGACGAAGACCUUGCAACUGUUGAAUGGGACCCUUUGA